CCCUGUGGCUCAGUUGGUAGAGCAUGGUGUUUGCAACGCCAGGGUCGUGGGUUCGAUUCCCACGCGGGGG
rnacentral:tRNA from 1 species